UCGAGAAUUUUUCACAAUGGGCGCAAGCCUGAUGGAGCGACGCCGCGUGGGGGAUGAAUGGCUUCGGCCCGUAAACCCCUGUCAUUUGCGAUCAAACCUUGCUAUUUAAAAGAUGGCGAGCUGAUAGUAGCGAAAGAGGAAGGGACGGCUAACUCUGUGCCAGCAGCCGCGGUAAUACAGAGGUCCCAAGCGUUGUUCGGAUUCACUGGGCGUAAAGGGUGCGUAGGUGGUGGGGUAAGUCGGAUGUGAAAUCUCGGAGCUCAACUGCGAAAUGGCAUUGGAAACUACCCUGCUAGAGGGUCGGAGGGGGGACUGGAAUUCUCGGUGUAGCAGUGAAAUGCGUAGAUAUCGAGAGGAACACCAGUGGCGAAGGCGAGUCCCUGGACGACUCCUGACACUGAGGCACGAAAGCUAGGGGAGCAAACA
rnacentral:rRNA from 1 species